UGCUCUAAAUAAAAAAAAAUCUACAAAAUACGAAAUAAGAAUCGUGGGUUUGAAUUUUCUCGAAUUCUAAAGCCCUAUUUCACUUUUUUUUAUUUCUCGAGUUAUGAUGGUGUUAAUUUUAUAAUUCGAUUGAUCUAUUCUGAUUUAUUCUGCAGAUAUCGAUUUGAAAUCAUCAAGAAGGAAACUAUUAGCGAAAGAGAAAACAACAUAGUUUUUCUUUCAAAACAAAAGACUCCUGCAAAGCUUAUGCGGGAGAAUAAGAGGGUUCUGGAUAAAUCUAUAGAGAAAAAUAUUUUAAGCACAAGGGAAGAAAAUUUAUUGUUGGGAUUAAGAAAAGCCCCGAGCAAGAGCAGAUGUUUUUCUUGAAUACAUGUAUCCCAGGAUUUUAGUGUGAUUAUGUGCAGGCAACCGCUACGGGAAUACAAGAACAAUGGAUGGUGGGCAAAAAAUUGUUUCUUAAAUUUGAAGACAAAGCAACAAGAACAACAACACUGGAAAAAAUGCACUAUACCCUGUUCGCGACAAAAGGUGAUCAACGCAAGGCAAGGCAAGGCUUAUAAAGAGUUGAAAGUCUGGAAACUGUAAAACCAAUCAGGCAGACUAUGUAAUUGAGGCGUUAACCUGCUUUACAAUCUCCGAUGUUUGAAACAAGCUAAUGGCAAACAGUGUGGGCAUUAAACAUCAGUUUUUCAAUAAUGUGCAGGAAAAAUGUACACAGGUGAUUCAGAAAAAAAUUAAAUCAUGCCUAAUAGAUUGUUAUAAAUUCGCUCUACAAAGAGGAAAUGUAAUUAGCGUUGCAAUGAAAGAAUGAUUUAUUAUCAUAAAUGGUUUAGGCAAGACCGAAUUAUCCGAAGGUAUUAUACCGGAAGAUGUCCAUGUACCUAAAAUGCAAGUAUAUAUUCUCACAAAUGUCCAUCAUGAACCCAUCAAGAUCGCGGGUUCAUACGGAUCCUAUCUAUAAUAGAUGGUAGAUCCCAAAGAUGGCGAAGGUGACACUAAAAUCUGAAACCGAUGGGAGCAGAGAUAUAUGGUAAGAACUACCAUGCCAAUAUAGUAGUUACAACCAUUUUCUACCCUCAAAAUUAAUUAUAACAGCAACACAGGCUACUCUAAAUUGAACGAGUUGGAAAUCUGAAGUUGUAAUUCAUUUUGCGAGUCGAUAAACUGUUUGCAUACUAUUGGACCAAUGCUCAUCUGUCGAAAGGGUAUGAAACGGCUCUUUAAUUCAUGUUUGUGGAUCACGUUGACAUUUAGGAUGUUAUGGCCUUGAAGUUGGGAAAUAAUAUGCACUGCAUCUCUAAACUACUAACACAUAUAUGCUGUUUUAGUUCCCUAUUGUUUGAAAUAGUAAAUUGAACCAAAAGUGAAAACCCAUUUGGUAUGUAAAUUUGUUUUUGUUGAUUGAUACAUUUUUUUCA